AGCGAACGCUGGCGGCAGGCCUAAUACAUGCAAGUCGAGCGCCCCUUCGGGGGAGCGGCGGACGGGUGAGUAACGCGUGGGAACGUGCCCUUUGGUACGGAACAACUGAGGGAAACUUCAGCUAAUACCGUAUGUGCCCUUCGGGGGAAAGGAUUUAUCGCCAUUGGAGCGGCCCGCGUUGGAUUAGGUAGUUGGUGAGGUAAAGGCUCACCAAGCCUACGAUCCAUAGCUGGUCUGAGAGGAUGAUCAGCCACACUGGGACUGAGACACGGCCCAGACUCCUACGGGAGGCAGCAGUAGGGAAUCUUGCGCAAUGGGCGAAAGCCUGACGCAGCCAUGCCGCGUGAAUGAUGAAGGUCUUAGAUUGUAAAUUCUUUCACGGGAAGAUAAUGACGGUACCCGGAGAAGAAGCCCCGGCUAACUUCGUGCCAGCAGCCGCAGU
rnacentral:rRNA from 1 species